GGGCAUGGGACACUUAUAUCUGAAAAUAAUUUAGUAGUAUAAGUACUUUCACAAAAAGAAAUUACGUGUUUUGACACAAACUCACGCUGCCACUUUUUAGAAUCAUAGAAAUCCUACUCCAUCUCCUGCAGCAAUACCCAGCUUGAUGCAAUUCCACUAAGAAAAUGUUAUGAACAAAAUUUGUAACUUGAAAUCUUGAAUGUCUGAAGGCGCAGCUUGUGCUGAUACCUGAUAGAUUAAGAACCAAGAAAACAGCAAGCACUACUAUAUCUGAUAACAAAUCGAUCUCAUUCUUUCCACCUAGACAAACAAAGUAGUGAUCCGGCCUUACUCCAGAGCCCAGCCAACCAAAUCGAUUAUACUAUUAAAAAAAUCCACUCCCAGUAGCAAGCUCCAUCGAUUCUUCUUUCUAGCAGAUGAGAUGGUCACAUCCAUAAUAGCAGUAGCAGGAGAUGCAGGAAGAUGCAUCGACGGACUCCUAGAAGAGAGCUUCAUCCUCAUCCCACGACUCCAUGCUCGGGAAGCCACCGCUGCCACCACAGGCCUCCGCUUGCAACGCCGCAUGACUAAAAGCUCACGAAUCCGCCGCCGCCACACGCCUCCCCUGCAACGCCGCACCGGGGUCCGCCACCGCCCACUCGGAGCCGUGACAGCAGGCUGUGCUGGCAGGCCACGCACUGCCCCAGCCCCCGCCCGCCGCGCAGAGAAGGAACGGCGACGUCGCGCUCCUCCUCCACCGCGUGACGGACGACAAGUGCUGA
rnacentral:lncRNA from 1 species